AUUGAACGCUGGCGGCAGGCCUAACACAUGCAAGUCGAACGAGUGGCGGACGGGUGAGUAAUGUAUGGGGAUCUGCCAGAUAGAGGGGGAUAACGACUGGAAACGGUGGCUAAUACCGCAUACUAUCGGAUGAACCCAUAUGGGAUUAGCUAGUAGGGGGGGUAAAGGCUCACCUAGGCGACGAUCUCUAGCUGGUCUGAGAGGAUGAUCAGCCACACUGGGAGUGAGACACGGCCCAGACUCCUACGGGAGGCAGCAGUGGGGAAUCUUGGACAAUGGGCGAAAGCCUGAUGCAGCCAUGCCGCGUGUAUGAAGAAGGCCUUAGGGUUGUAAAGUACUUUCAGCGGGGAGGCGUUACCCGCAGAAGAAGCACCGGCUAACUCCGUGCCAGCAGCCGCGGUAAUUC
rnacentral:rRNA from 1 species